rnacentral:rRNA from 1 species
GGCAUGCAAGUCGUACGAGAAAGUCAUCUUCGGAUGGCAAGUAAAGUGGCGAACGGGUGAGUAACGCGUGGGAAAUCUGCCCUUUAGUUGGGGAUAACAGUCCUAACGGACUGCUAAUACCGAAUGUGGACACGAAGUCGCAUGGCAAUGUGUUUGAAGGUGGCCUCUCCUUGGAAGCUACCGCUAAAGGAUGAUCCCGCGUCCCAUUAGCUUGUUGGUGAGGUAACGGCUCACCAAGGCACCGAUGGGUAGCUGGUCUGAGAGGAUGGUCAGCCACACUGGGACUGAGAUACGGCCCAGACUCCUACGGGAGGCAGCAGUCGAGAGGCUUCGGCAAUGGGGGAAACCCUGACCGAGCGACGCCGCGUGGGCGAUGAAGGUUGUAAGAUCGUAAAGCCCUGUCAGGAGGGAAGAAGUGCGUCUAUUCAAACAGGGUAGGCGUUUGACGGUACCUCCAAAGGAAGCUCCGGCUAACUCCGUGCCAGCAGCCGCGGUAAUACGGGGGGAGCAAACGUUGUUCGGAAUUACUGGGCGUAAAGGGCGCGUAGGCGGCUUGAUAAGUGGAUUGUGAAAUCCCAUGGCUCAACCAUGGAACUGCA